AACCGAAGCUCCGGUAAACGGCGGCCGUAACUAUGACGGUCCUAAGGUAGCGAAGUUCCUUGUCGGGUAAGUUCCGACCUGCACGAAUGGUGCAACGAUCUGGGUACUGUCUCAACCAUGAGCUCGGUGAAAUUGUAGUUCCGGUGAAGAUGCCGGAUACCCGCAACGGGACGAAAAGACCCCGUGAACCUUUACUAUAGCUUCACAUUGGUAUUGGGUAAAUGAUGUGUAGGAUAGCUGGGAGACUUUGAAGCUGUGUCGUCAGGCAUGGUGGAGUCGUUGGUGAAAUACCAGCCUUUAUUUAUCUGAUGCCUAACCCCGAAAGGGAGACAGUGUGUGGUGGGUAGUUUGACUGGGGUGGUCGCCUCCAAAAGUGUAACGGAGGCUUUCAAAGGUACCCUCAGUACGCUUGGUAACCGUGCGUAGAGUGCAAUAGCAUAAGGGUGCUUGACUGUGAGGCCUACAAGCCGAGCAGGUACGAAAGUAGGAUAUAGUGAUCCGGCGGUUCUGUAUGGAAGGGCCGUCGCUCAAAGGAUAAAAGGUACUCCGGGGAUAACAGGCUGAUCUCCCCCAAGAGCUCAUAUCGACGGGGAGGUUUGGCACCUCGAUGUCGGCUCGUCGCAUCCUGGGGCUGGAGUAGGUCCCAAGGGUUGGGCUGUUCGCCCAUGAAAGCGGUACGCGAGCUGGGUUUAGAACGUCGUGAGACAGUUCGGUCCCUAUCCGCCGCGCGCGUUGGAGACUUGAGGAAGGCUGUCCCUAGUACGAGAGGACCGGGACGGACGAACCUCUGGUGUGCCAGUUGUCCCGCCAGGGGCACGGCUGGUUGGCUAUGUUCGGGAGGGAUAACCGCUGAAGGCAUCUAAGCGGGAAGCCUGUUCCAAGAUGAGGUCUCCCACCACCUUCGAGUGGGUAAGGCUCCCAGUAGAUGACUGGGUUGAUAGGCCGGAGAUGGAAGCCCUGUGAGGGGUGGAGUUGACCGGUACUAAUAGGCCGAGGGCUUG
rnacentral:rRNA from 13 species